UUAUAACAGUUAUGAUGUGAAUGUUGAAGUAUCAGUGAAACUGAUAUUUAUUCUCGUACGUUGUAACUCUUACCGGUACCUAUUUACCUGUUUAUACUCGUAUUAUAUGUUCCUGACACGUGUAGUGAAAAAUGUACUGUAAAACCUAAAAAAUACAAAUAAACGUUCAAUUCGGAUUGGAACUGGCGAAGAUCAGGAAAAUAUGCUUCUUCUGGAUUGGAUUUUUAAAAUGGUAAUGGUCAAAAGGUGUAUGUACUUCCCUUCGUCUCUUGGCAGUCACCAAUACGUCUAAUUCUGCCUAAUUAACAAUAUUUUAUAACCAAAAUGGUGAAAUAUCAAUUAAAGCUCUAGGAUUUAUAUUUAUGCAAUAGUCUUAUUACAGUAAUAUUUAAUGGCAUUGUACGUAUGCAUCAGUAGAUCACUAUGCAAUUUAAACCAUAACAUUAUAAAUAAUACGGAUGUGAAUUUGCCUUUAUUAAAUUGUGUACUUAGAAUAAUAAAUUAGACUAAAAUUUUACCAACAAAAUUUCAAAAAUUAAUACAUAUUUUAUCGAAAUAAAUGUAAUCACUAAUAAACAAGAGUUCUAAGAUGUA